GAAACUUAAAGGAAUUGACGGGGGCCGCACAAGCGGUGGAGCAUGUGGUUUAAUUCGAUGAUACGCGAGGAACCUUACCUGGGCUUAAAUGUUGGACGCCAGUCCCCGAAAGGGGAUUUUCCUUCGGGACGUCCUACAAGGUGCUGCAUGGUUGUCGUCAGCUCGUGCCGUGAGGUGUCGGGUUAAGUCCCAUAACGAGCGCAACCCCUAUUCUUAGUUGCCAUCAGGUAAUGCUGGGGACUCUAAGGAAACUGCCUACGCAAGUAGUGAGGAAGGUGGGGAUGACGUCAAAUCAGCACGGCCCUUAUGUCCAGGGCUACACACGUGCUACAAUGGCCGGUACAGAGGGAUGCUACCAGGUGACUGGAUGCAAAUCUCGAAAGCCGGUCUCAGUUCGGAUUGGAGUCUGCAACUCGACUCCAUGAAGCUGGAAUCGCUAGUAAUCGCACAUCAGCCAUGGCGCGGUGAAUACGUUCCCGGGCCUUGUACACACCGCCCGUCAAGCCAUGGAAGCUGGGGGUGCCUGAAGUCCGUAACCGCAAGGAGCGGCCUAGGGUAAAACUAGUGACUGGGGCUAAGUCGUAACAA
rnacentral:rRNA from 1 species